rnacentral:rRNA from 1 species
GAUGAACGCUGGCGGCGUGCUUAACACAUGCAAGUCGAACGGAAAGGCUCCUGCUUGCAGGGGUACUCGAGUGGCGAACGGGUGAGUAACACGUGGGUGAUCUGCCCUGCACUUCGGGAUAAGCCUGGGAAACUGGGUCUAAUACCGGAUAGGACGAUGGUUUGGAUGCCAUUGUGGAAAGUUUUUCGGUGUGGGAUGAGCUGGCGGCCUAUCAGCUUGUUGGUGGGGUAAUGGCCUACCAAGGCGUCGACGGGUAGCCGGCCUGAGAGGGUGUACGGCCACAUUGGGACUGAGAUACGGCCCAGACUCCUACGGGAGGCAGCAGUGGGGAAUAUUGCACAAUGGGCGCAAGCCUGAUGCAGCGACGCCGCGUGGGGGAUGACGGCCUUCGGGUUGUAAACUACUUUCGCUAGGGACGAAGCGCAAGUGACGGUGCCUGGAGAAGAAGCACCGGCUAGCUACGUG